rnacentral:misc_RNA from 1 species
GUGAAUCAUCAAAUUUUUGAACGCAAAUUGCACUUUCUGGUAUUCCGGGAAGUAUGCCUGUUUGAGGGUCAGUUAAAUUAAAAUCGGUGGUGUUGCUACACGUAGUGGUGUGUGAGGCAUCUGAGUUGAGUCAUUCUGUACCGUUGGUGUAAGUGGCUUAAAAUUAUGUUCGAUUUUUGAACGUGUUUAAAUUAUUACUUACGUUUGUAAUAUCACUUAUUAGAUACGGUCAUUCAAUUGGUUUA